GUGGUGGUAGCAGGGCGCACGGCGCAAGUCUUGGAGCAGGGACGGUCACAAGGGAGCCGAAGGACAGGGAGGUGGGUGCUGAAGGAGCAUGUGGUCUGACAAGAAUAUUGUGAAGAGCAUGCUCUGAAACAUGACAACUCAUAAAAGGCUGAAAUCAUGCCUGCAUUUUUUCUUGCCUGGGGAGAGACUGAACAUUGUGUCCAUUAUUCACAUCAAAGCUGACCUCCUAACUGAUGACCAUCUCAGCUAUGAAGACAUGAUUAACAAGUUUGCUGCCAUUAAAGCCAAAUGCAAACUUUCCUGACUGGUGUCUCCCUGUCUACUGGCUGCCCGUACGUGUUUUGCUGAGGCAAGCUCCACUGCCCAGUGUCAACACAUGCCACCAAGAUCCAUCUCAGCAGCUGUAUGAGUAUUAGCUGAAUAAAAUAUGAUGAUGAUA